UACGGAGGAUGCGAGCGUUAUCCGGAUUUAUUGGGUUUAAAGGGUGCGUAGGUGGCUUAUUAAGUCAGCGGUGAAAGUUUGUGGCUUAACCAUAAAAUUGCCGUUGAAACUGGUUGGCUUGAGUAUAUUUGAGGUAGGCGGAAUGCGUGGUGUAGCGGUGAAAUGCAUAGAUAUCACGCAGAACUCCGAUUGCGAAGGCAGCUUACUAAACUAUAACUGACACUGAAGCACGAAAGCGUGGGGAUCAAACAGG
rnacentral:rRNA from 1 species